rnacentral:rRNA from 1 species
ACUCCUACGGAAGGCAGCAGUGAGGAAUAUUGGUCAAUGGCCGAGAGGCUGAACCAGCCAAGUCGCGUGAGGGAUGAAGGUUCUAUGGAUCGUAAACCUCUUUUAUAAGGGAAUAAAAGUGCGGGACGUGUCCCGUUUUGUAUGUACCUUAUGAAUAAGGAUCGGCUAACUCCGUGCCAGCAGCCGCGGUAAU